UGUAAAUUGAAAACGAAAAAUAUUUUCCAUGUUUCAUAAGAGGUAAUUAUGCUGAUGUUAUAUAGUUUUUUCGGUUAAUGCUAACUGAGAGAAACUAUGUAACAACGUGGUAUGAUUACUGAGGGGAAAUUCAAAAUGAAGGAAAUUGUACAAUUUGCAUUAUAGGUAAUUGUACAGAUUUGAGAUUGCUUUCUAAUCCAAGGUUAAUCGAGAAAGACAGUGUACAACUUGGUGUUAUCGUUAAUUAUAAAUUGAAAAUGAAAGAAAGUUUACGGUUUGCAUUUUAGGUAAUUAUACGGAUUUUUAUAUGGCAAUGUGGUCCAAAGUUAACAGAGUAAGACCGUGUAAGAACGUUGUGUGACCGUUAACAGCAAAUUCAAAGGGAAAAAAAAUUUUACAAUUUGCAUUAUUUGUAAUUGUACAAAUUUUUUAUUUAUUUCUCCCAUAAGUUUAACGUAGAAGAUAUGUCUACAGCCUGGUAUGAUGGUUGACUGUAAAUUGGAAAUGAAAAAAUUUUAUAACUUGCAUUAUAGCUAAUUAUGCUGAUUUUACAUGGGUUUCUCGUACAAAUUAACCGAGAAAAACUGUGUAACGACGUGAUAUGAAUGUUAAUCGGAAAUUCAAAUUGGAAAAAAUUGUACAAUUUGCCUUGCAGGUUAUUGUACAGAUUUCAUAUGGCUUUCCAGCAUAAAGAUUACCAAGAGAUACUUCUUAAUAACGUGGUAUGACCGUUAUCAAAAAUUAAAUAAAAAUUAAGAAGGAAUUUUACAAUUUGCAUUGUAGGUAAUUAUAUAGAUAUUAUAUGGAUUUCUCGGUUGAGGU